rnacentral:rRNA from 1 species
UACGAAGGGGGCUAGCGUUGCUCGGAAUCACUGGGCAUAAAGGGUGCGUAGGCGGGUCUUUAAGUCAGGGGUGAAAUCCUGGAGCUCAACUCCAGAACUGCCUUUGAUACUGAGGAUCUUGAGUUCGGGAGAGGUGAGUGGAACUGCGAGUGUAGAGGUGAAAUUCGUAGAUAUUCGGAAGAACACCAGUGGCGAAGGCGGCUCACUGGCCCGGUACUGACGCUGAGGUGCGAAAGCGUGGGGAGCAAACAGG